rnacentral:lncRNA from 10 species
UUCAGGACUCUAUUCUGUUCCCUUGGUCUACUUGUCUAACUUGACUCCAGUACCACAGUAUCUUGCUGUAGCUUUAUAAACUUUGAAAUCAGGGGGAAGUAUGUAAUGAUGUUUGUGACAAAAAAUAAAUGUGAUCAACUGGUAAAAACAGCCUGAUGUUGUGUCUUCAGUGAAUGUUCCCACUAGCCAGGCUGAGCUUAAGGUGUAUGGUCAACUAAACAAUCCAAAAACCAUGUAGCUCCACAAUAAUCAGAAAUUCUGGAUCCAGUAAAACAAGUCUCCUUUAAGACAUGGCUGAAUGCUGGAAGAAAGUAAAGAAAGUUCCUGGAGUCAAAGAUGAAGUGAGAAGGAAAAAUCAGAGCAGUGAGU